CAGUAGCCGCGGGAAUACGUAGGGGGCGAGCGUUGUCCGAAGUUACUGGGCGUAAAGCGCGCGUAGGCGGCUUCUUAAGUCUGAGGUGAAAGGUUCAACGCUUAACGUGAACAGUGCCUUGGAUACUGGGGAGCUUGAGUAUGGGAGAGGGCAGUGGAAUGGCUGGUGUAGCAGUGAAAUGCGUAGAUAUCAGUCGGAACACCCAUGGCGAAGGCAGCUGCCUGGCCUAAUACUGACGCUGAGGUGCGAAAGCGUGGGGAGCGAACGGGAUUAGAUACCCCAGUAGUCCCUGUCUCUUAUA
rnacentral:rRNA from 1 species